rnacentral:lncRNA from 7 species
ACAGGUCCCACAGCUGUGUAGGAGACAAGAGUCUGUUACGCUCGCAAGGCAGGUCUUAAUUACUAACUGCAAAUUGUUGUUUGGUGUUAAAGUGCUGGGAGAAGAUAAAUGAAAGCAGAGAAAACAUUCGGUGGCUGCUGAAAAAGGCCUACUACACCCAGACACGAGGAGAUGUCUCAUUAAUUAUUUGCUUUCAUCCCCUUUGGGCUCAAAAGACAGCAGCAAUAACAUUACUUUUGUUUGCAGCUAUGUGUUCUUCUUUGACUGAGUGCCUCAAAGACAGCAGCGGAAAUAAGGACUGCUAAGAACACAGUGAUCCUUCCUACAUUACUGAGCCAUUCAGGAUUACAGCUGUUAAACGCAAGCACAAGCAGUCUGUAUUCCACAGUCUGUUAGGAAACAACCCUUCCUUCCGGAGCGACAAAAUCUACAUCAAGUCCCACUUUUUCUUCUUUGGAGAACCUUCUGCAAGAAACACGCUGCCCUACUGCAAUAAGCAAGUAAGAAACAACUACUUAAAAUUGUACGCCCGCUGUUUGGAUGGCUGUGAUAUUUCUUCAUUGAGAUUUGCAGCUCUUCCAGGGUAGGGUAUAUAUGUGGACUAUAAUUCAAUGGACUACCAUCACAACAAAGUUACAUUCUUUGCCUGAUCUGAACUAAGUUUAAUCAAAGAGAGACCAUGUCCACCUUUCUGCCCAGGCCUAUAGCUCUGCUUCUCUUUGCACCAGUUCAAACAUUCACUCAACCCUGUGCAUAGCUAAUCUAGCUCAUUAAUCCAAAAGAAAAUUAUUGACUUUUCUAACAAAUAAAUGUAUCGCUGGAGAGAUAAAAAGCCCUAAGAGUUCAAGUGGAUGGAGAACCUUCUCUUUCAACAGCAAUGAGAAUAGAUUUGUUCAAGAUGGAACAUGCAACUCUAUCCACAGACUAAUCCAUACCUGUACAUGGCCCACUCUGCCAAACGUUGCUAUUACUAAAUGACAUCCUCAUUUUUUUACAGUCACAUCCCACCUUGUCACCGCUUCUUCAUUAAGAAAGCUUGUCUCUUGGUGUGAAUUUUUAUGGUAAAUAUUUCUGUCCUGUACUUCAGGGGAAAAAAGAAAAAAGGAUAACGUAUUAAUACUACAUGAGGAUGAUUAACUGUUUUCCUACCCAUUGAUACCUACUGAGAAUGAAAAUGGCACUACUGUUUUUCAACAAUUACCAUAGCAUUUAGGCAUCCAAAGGUCCAAAAAUAGUAGAGUCAUUCAGCCUUCAAACACUAAUUUUUAAUAGCUUUCCAUACAGCUCUAAAUUUAAAGGGCCAAAGGAAACCUCAAGUUAUCUGAAGAAUCAAAAAACACCAAAUGAGCCAGAUGACAACAGAUCUGAGUAUGGCAUCUUCAGUAAACACAAACAAAACAGUGGUGCUAUGUGUGAUUCAAUCAAGAAGGAGUUAAGGAAGAGGAAUAUUACAAAAGCAAGUCUACACAGCUUUAUGGAAACAAGCCUUGACAAGCAGGCCUGACUUCACUUUCUGAUGAGAUUACAAGUUUGUUUGAUCAAGGUAACCACAUAGAUGUGAUAUACUUGGACUUUCCUAAUAAAUUCAAUUUAGUACUGCU